GAGACUCGAACUCGCGACCCCGACCUUGGCAAGGUCGUGCUCUACCAACUGAGCUAUUCCCGCAAUGGCGUCCCCU
rnacentral:tRNA from 1 species